GACGAACGCUGGCGGCGUGCUUAACACAUGCAAGUCGAACGGAAAGGCCCUGCUUUUGUGGGGUGCUCGAGUGGCGAACGGGUGAGUAACACGUGAGUAACCUGCCCUUGACUUUGGGAUAACUUCAGGAAACUGGGGCUAAUACCGGAUAGGAGCUCCUGCUGCAUGGUGGGGGUUGGAAAGUUUCGGCGGUUGGGGAUGGACUCGCGGCUUAUCAGCUUGUUGGUGGGGUGGUGGCUUACCAAGGCUUUGACGGGUAGCCGGCCUGGGAGGGUGACCGGCCCCACUGCGACUGAGAUACGGCCCAGACUCCUACGGGACGCAGCAGUGGGGAAUAGUGCACAAUGGGCGGAAGCCUGAUGCAGCAACGCCGCGUGCGGGAUGACGGCCUUCGGGUUGUAAUCCGCUUUCGCCUGUGCCGGAGCGUGAGUGACGGUAAUGGGUAAAGAAGCACCGGCUAACUACGUG
rnacentral:rRNA from 1 species